UUACCAGUCUGACAUAAAAGAGAUCCGCAAGGGACAGGUGGUGCAUGGCUGUCGUCAGCUCGUGUCGUGAGAUGUUGGGUUAAGUCCCGCAACGAGCGCAACCCUAUCAAUGUUGCCAGCAUAUGGGACUCAUUGAGACUGCCGGGUUAAUCGGAGGAAGGUGGGGAUGACGUCAAGUCCUCAUGCCCCUUAUGCUGGGCUGCAAACACGCUACAAUGGGAUACAAGGGGCUUCGCGAGAUUAGCAAUCCCGAAAUCGUCUCAGUUCGAAUUGAAGUCUGCAACUCGACUUCAUGAAGCUGGAGUUGCUAGUAAUCCCGAUCAGCACGCGGGGUGAAUACGUUCCCGGGCCUUGUACACACCGCCCGUCACACCACGAAAGUCGGAAACCGAA
rnacentral:rRNA from 1 species